rnacentral:tRNA from 1 species
ACCCUCAUGAGUAUAUCAGUAUAUUCAGCUUCCAACUGAAAGGUUUUUGUAUAAAAUCAAGAAUGGGGUA